rnacentral:rRNA from 1 species
AGUUUGAUCAUGGCUCAGGAUGAACGCUAGCGGGAGGCUUAACGCAUGCAAGUCGAGGGGUAUAAGUAGCAAUAUUUAGAGACCGGCGCACGGGUGAGUAACGCGUAUGCAACCUGCCCUUUACAGGGGGAUAGCCCGUAGAAAUGCGGAUUAAUACCCCAUAGUAUUAUUGGAUCGCAUGGUUUGAUAGUUAAAGUUUCGGCGGUAAAGGAUGGGCAUGCGUGACAUUAGCUAGUUGGAGAGGUAACGGCUCACCAAGGCUACGAUGUCUAGGGGUUCUGAGAGGAAGAUCCCCCACACUGGUACUGAGACACGGACCAGACUCCUACGGGAGGCAGCAGUGAGGAAUAUUGGUCAAUGGGCGAGAGCCUGAACCAGCCAUCCCGCGUGCAGGAAGAAUGCCCUAUGGGUUGUAAACUGCUUUUUCGCAUGAAGAACACUCCGGACGUGUCUGGAGCUGACGGUAAUGCGUGAAUAAGCACCGGCUAACUCCGUGCCAGCAGCCGCGGUAAUACGGAGGGUGCAAGCGUUAUCCGGAUUUAUUGGGUUUAAAGGGUGCAUAGGCGGUGAUUUAAGCCAGUGG